AUUGAACGCUGGCGGCAGGCCUAACACAUGCAAGUCGAGCGAGCGGCGGACGGGUGAGUAAUGUAUGGGGACUGCCCGAUAGAGGGGGGUAACUACUGGAAACGGUAGCUAAUACCGCAUACUAUCGGAUAACCCAUAUGGGAUUAGCGAGUAGGUGAGGUAAUGGUGCACCUAGGCGACGAGCCCUAGCGGGUCUGCGAGGAUGAUCAGCCACACUGGGACUGAGACACGGCCCAGACUCCUACGGAGGCAGCAGUGGGGAAUAUUGCACAAUGGGCGCAAGCCUGAUGCAGCCAUGCCGCGUGUAUGAAGAAGGCCCUAGGGUUGUAAAGUACUUUCAGUCGGUAGGCGUUACCGACAGAAGAAGCACCGGCUAACUCCGUGCCAGCAGCCGCGGUAAUAC
rnacentral:rRNA from 1 species